CAGCCGUAGAGACCUUGUCUAAAGCAUACUACGCUGUAGGUUUCACCCUCAGCUUGGUUAAAAACCUGAUUGGUCAGAGAAGUAGUGGAGAAUAGACCAGUGACCUCUCCUCUCUCUUCUUCCUUGAUCCAAAAGGCCUGUGAAUCUUUCUGAGCCCUUCCCUACUACUUCCUGUGUCUCCCUAUAUGUAUCCUGGGUCCUCCAAAACCUCUAUGGCUAAUUCUAGUCAGCUAGUUGCUAACUCCGCCCUCUGAUUCAAAGUAAACUUUAUUGUCAGUCUGGGAGUGUCAGUGAGAACAAAUAUCUCACAGCACAUUGAGUCUAAUUAGGGUGCAGUUCCUGGUGGGUCCACCGUGCUCCGGUGGACGGCCACACCCAAGAGUAUAUGGGCAGCACAAACGGGACUUAAUGGGUUAAAAACCGAAACCGAAACCAGAGGGCAUAAAGUCCGUGUCUGGUCAUAAGGAAGACAUGAAAAUGCUUGUCGGAACAGACGGGCCCCAUGGCUGAAUCGUAAGCGGCUGGGAAGACACAGGAUGGCUAGAGACUAGUAAAGGGCACGCAGAGUCAGCCAGUGUAUGCUUCAAGGAUACAAUACAGUUGCCGGAACACAGCAAAGGGCUCUCAGAAGGUAGCCCGGCUGCUCGAAUGAAGGAGACAGAAUCAGCUUCUCAAGGCCACAGGCUUUCUUCACAGUGCUUCCUGGACCCAGGGGACUGAGGACUUCCCCACCUGCUUUAGUGAAUGAAUGAAUUUCAGCUUUUCCCUAGACACCAAAUCAGGACACUCAGGAAAGAACAUGUGGAUCUUCACAGGUUACAAUCCUGAAGGGAUGCCAUUUGAUGGACUUGUCCUUGACCUAAGGACCUCAGCAUUUCCCUCAGCAAACCACAGAAGGACAGCGAAGAAGCAAGACUACUAAGAUGUCUUGGGAGUGCUCUGCUGACCCUUCCUGAUCCCAGUGAGAUAGAAAAGCACAGCAUCUGGCCCUCCUGAGGGGUUGGGAAGAGUCAGGAGACAGCGCUGACUCCUCACAAGCCUGCUCCACACUCCUGUACACAAAAGACCUGGACACCAACGUCCUAGAGUUAGGAAGUAAACAUCAGGCUGGGUGUGGUGGCUGAAGCAAAAGGAUCAUGAGUUCAAGACCGGCUGGGCUACACAGUGAGACCCUGCCUCAAAACACAUUAAAUCACACACACACUCACACACAAACA